UGUUCCAUGAUAUCAUCCAGGGGGCUCACAGUAUGUGAGCCAAAGUAUUAGCAUGUCCAAGGUACCAGGCUAGGUAUUACAAGAAAUUUCAGGCUGGAAGGAAUCAUGCACAAUUUAAGGCAGAGAAGUUAAAUACAUUAGUGUAGCAAAGAAGAACGUGAACUAUAUACCAAGAGGGAAGUAAAAUAAUAAUAUUGAUAAAACAGCAGCAGCACAA
rnacentral:lncRNA from 1 species